GAAACCCCAAGCCCCAUGGACGGAGCCUUAUAAUUGCUUUGACUUUGAGUAUAAUUAUCUCGAGAUUCAUCUUCCACUUGGAGAAGCAUUGGUGAAAUCCGAGAAUUACUCUUCUUAUUCUUCCUUAUAAACUUCUUAGAAUGGCGACGGUUGUUUUUAUUGAGGUCCUCGAGAGCAGCACUUGCUUUAACGGCAAGAGCUGCCAUUUCAGACGCACUCAGGCGAUACUGAAGCUUGGAAGUAGGGAGCACGAAAUAGAUCUGACCGGGCUGAAGCUGGUAUUCAGAAUCCAAACGAGGUAUGAAAUCGUCGAAGUAAAGGCGAUCGGAAUUGCAGAUGAAGGAAGCCUCAGAAGACAUCUCAGACUGAAGAACUUGAGAGACGUUGAUGGGAACUGUAUAUUGACGGAGCUCUCCGUUGGUUGAUAUCACGUAGGCGGAGGAGGGUUUCUGAUCUUUUGCAUCGAU
rnacentral:lncRNA from 1 species